rnacentral:rRNA from 1 species
CCUAACACAUGCAAGUCGAACGAGAUCUUCGGAUCUAGUGGCGCACGGGUGCGUAACGCGUGGGAAUCUGCCCUUGGGUUCGGAAUAACAGUUAGAAAUGACUGCUAAUACCGGAUGAAGUCUACGGACCAAAGAUUUAUCGCCCAGGGAUGAGCCCGCGUAGGAUUAGCUAGUUGGUGGGGUAAAGGCCUACCAAGGCGACGAUCCUUAGCUGGUCUGAGAGGAUGAUCAGCCACACUGGGACUGAGACACGGCCCAGACUCCUACGGGAGGCAGCAGUGGGGAAUAUUGGACAAUGGGGGCAACCCUGAUCCAGCAAUGCCGCGUGAGUGAUGAAGGC